GUUAAAACACCGGUUCCUGUACGAUCACUGAAGUUAAGCAACGUCGAGCCUGGUAAGUACCUAGAUGGGUAACCGCUUGAGAAAACCAGUUGCUGUAAG